rnacentral:tRNA from 1 species
GGAGAGUUGGCCGAGUGGCUGAAGGCGGUUCCCUGCUAAGGAAUUGUGUGGUUUAUCCCGCACCGAGGGUUCGAAUCCCUCAUUCUCCGCCA